rnacentral:rRNA from 1 species
AGUGGCGCACGGGUGAGUAACGCGUGGACAACCUGCCCUGGCAAACCGGAAUAACAUUGCGAAAGCGGUGCUAAUACCGGAUAAGCCCACGACCCCAAGGAGUCGCGGGAAAAAGGCGGCCUCUGACUCAAGCUGCCGUUUCAGGAUGGGUCCGCGUCCUAUUAGCUAGUUGGCAGGGUAAAUGCCUACCAAGGCGACGAUGGGUAGCUGGUCUGAGAGGAUGGUCAGCCACACUGGAACUGAGACACGGUCCAGACUCCUACGGGAGGCAGCAGUGGGGAAUUUUGCGCAAUGGGCGAAAGCCUGACGCAGCGACGCCGUGUGAGUGAUGAAGGCCUUCGGGUCGUAAAGCUCUGUCGGAGGGGAAGAAAUGCAGGGGUGCCAAUACCAUCCCCGCUUGACGGUACCCUCAAAGGAAGCACCGGCUAACUCCGUGCCAGCAGCCGCGGUAA